AUUCCGAUAACGAACGAGACUGAAACCUAUUAAUUAGUAUAUCUUUGACAGGGGAUAUCAUGCGAAAGCAUAUUAGGAAUUAAAUUUCUUAGAGGGACAACUUUUAGAUAGUCCUCCCAGCGGUAUAUGAGUACUAACCGUACUUUUUAUUUCUGGAGGGAUUAAUGAAAGGGAAGCGUUCAGCAAUAACAGGUCUGUGAUGCCCUUAGACAUCUUGGGCCGCACGCGCGCUACAAUGGAAGAAGAAAAGAGUUUAGGCAAGGAAUUAUUGCAUUUGGUUCUGCCAAGUGGAGUGAUUU
rnacentral:rRNA from 1 species